rnacentral:rRNA from 1 species
UACGUAGGGGGCAAGCGUUGUCCGGAUUUAUUGGGCGUAAAGAGCGUGUAGGCGGCCAGGUAGGUCCGUUGUGAAAACUCGAGGCUCAACCUCGAGACGUCGGCGGAAACCCUCUGGCUAGAGUCCGGAAGAGGAGAGUGGAAUUCCUGGUGUAGCGAUGAAAUGCGCAGAUAUCGGGAGGAACACCAAUGGCGAAGGCAGCUCGCUGGGACGGUACUGACGCUGAGACGCGAAAGCGUGGGGAGCAAACAGG